rnacentral:rRNA from 1 species
AUUGAACGCUGGCGGCAGGCCUAACACAUGCAAGUCGAGCGGAGCUGCGGACGGGCGAGUAAUGCCUAGGAGUCUGCCUGGUAGUGGGGGAUAACGUCCGGAAACGGGCGCUAAUACCGUACACUAUCAGAUGAGCCUAGGUCGGAUUAGCGAGUUGGUGGGGUAAAGGCCUACCUGGGCGGCGAUCCGUAACUGGGCUGAGAGGAUGAUCAGUCACACUGGAAAGGAGGCACGGUCCAGACUCCUAAGGGAGCCAGCGGUGGGGAAUAUUGGACAAAGGGCGAAAGCCUGAUCCAGCCAAGCCGCGUGUGUGGAGAAGGUCUUCGGAUUGUAAAGCACUUAAAGUUGGGAGGGGGUACCUGCAGAAUAAGCGCCGGCUAACUACGUGCCAGCAGCCGCGGUAAUUC